rnacentral:rRNA from 1 species
UACAGAGGGGGCAAGCGGUUGUCCGGAUUUACUGGGCGUAAAGAGCGCGCAGGCGGUCGUGCAAGUCGCGUGUGAAAGCCCCCGGCUCAACUGGGGAGGGUCACGCGAUACUGCUCGACUCGAAGGCAGGAGAGGGAAGUGGAAUUCCCGGUGUAGUGGUGAAAUGCGUUAGAUAUCGGGAGGAACACCAGUGGCGAAGGCGACUUCCUGGCCUGUUCUUGACGCUGAGGCGCGAAAGCUAGGGUAGCAAACGGG